rnacentral:lncRNA from 1 species
CUGCUGUUACGUGACACUUCCUACGGCUCACAUGGUCUCUCAGAAGGCGGCAAAAAGCUGAAUCGUGGCUUUGCAGGCUCUGGCUGAAAAAAAGUAGCCCGUUUGGGUAGUGGCUGGUUACAGUACUGUGAGACUCAGGCGCGUGCCCGCGUCGACCGAAUGCUUUGUUUUCUUUCCUCUGUUUACCUAAACGGAGAUCCCCGGUUGGAAUAUUAUCGCUUUUUUACGAGAAAAAUGGCAUAAAAAUGGAUUUUAAACAGCGGUUGACAUGCUUCGAAGUACGGUAAUGGAAUAUUUAGAAACUUUUUGUCACGAAUUGCGCCAUGCUCGUAACCCUGAUUUACCAUUUCGGAUAGUGUCUGGAACGCACGAACAAAACGCCGCUAUUUGGAUAUAACGAUGGAUUAUUUUGGACCAAACCAACAUUUGUUAUUGAAGUAGCAGUCCUGGGAGUGCAUUCUGACGAAGACAACAAAGAGGUUAUCUGGAUGGACGACCGCGACAGGUACAGACAUGCAGAGGUUAUCUGGAUGGACUACCACGACAGGUACAGACAUGCAGAGAUUAUCUGGAUGGACUACCACGACAGGCACAGAUAUGCAGAGGUUAUCUGGAUGGACGACCGCGACAGGUACAGACAUGAGGUUAUCUGGAUGGACUACCACGACAGGUACAGACAUGAGGUUGUCUGGAUGGAUGAACACGACAGGCACAGACAUGAGGUUAUCUGGAUGGACGAACACGACAGGCUGGUGGUUUCUAGUCCCUUGGCUGAUGUCGUCCCCCACAACACCCCUCCACCUCUCUUGGACAUCGAGGGGAACCUAUGCCAUCACAUCCCUCCUGGACUCCUGACGGCGUGGGGGU